rnacentral:rRNA from 1 species
CAGAUUGAACGCUGGCGGCAUGCCUUACACAUGCAAGUCGAACGGUAGAGUAGCAAUACUCGAGAGUGGCGAACGGGUGAGUAAUAUAUCGGAACGUGCCCAGUCGUGGGGGAUAACGUAGAGAAAUUUACGCUAAUACCGCAUACGAUCUAAGGAUGAAAGCGGGGGAUCGCAAGACCUCGCGCGAUUGGAGCGGCUGAUAUCAGAUUAGGUUGUUGGUGAGGUAAAAGCUCACCAAGCCGACGAUCUGUAGCUGGUUUGAGAGAACGACCAGCCACACUGGGACUGAGACACGGCCCAGACUCCUACGGGAGGCAGCAGUGGGGAAUUUUGGACAAU